CCUACGGGGCGCAGCAGUGGGGAAUAUUGGACAAUGGGCGAAAGCCUGAUCCAGCCAUGCCGCGUGUGUGAAGAAGGCCUUCGGGUUGUAAAGCACUUUCAGUGGGGAAGAAAGCCUUGGGGCUAAUACCCUCGAGGAAGGACAUCACCCACAGAAGAAGCACCGGCUAACUCCGUGCCAGCAGCCGCGGUAAUACGGAGGGUGCGAGCGUUAAUCGGAAUUACUGGGCGUAAAGCGCGCGUAGGCGGUCUGAUAAGCCGGUUGUGAAAGCCCCGGGCUCAACCUGGGAACGGCAUCCGGAACUGUCAGGCUAGAGUGCAGGAGAGGAAGGUAGAAUUCCCGGUGUAGCGGUGAAAUGCGUAGAGAUCGGGAGGAAUACCAGUGGCGAAGGCGGCCUUCUGGACUGACACUGACGCUGAGGUGCGAAAGCGUGGGUAGCAAACAGGACUAGAUACCCUGGUAGUC
rnacentral:rRNA from 1 species